rnacentral:snoRNA from 11 species
AUAACUUCUAUUCAAGCAAGGCCGUACGACUGUAUUCCUGAUUCCUAUCAAGACAGAAACCCAUGUUUGAUUGAUGAACUAGGACCAUGCAACUAGUGCGUGAUUAACAAACCCCAUUGUCUCGACUAUGGCUCAGUAGAGGAUCGUUGACAGCCCAUUACUGGCUCGUGUCAUGUUUGUCUAGCAGACA